UACGUAGGUGGCAAGCGUUGUCCGGAAUUAUUGGGCGUAAAGCGCGCGCAGGCGGUCCUUUAAGUCUGAUGUGAAAGCCCACGGCUCAACCGUGGAGGGUCAUUGGAAACUGGGGGACUUGAGUGCAGAAGAGGAAAGCGGAAUUCCACGUGUAGCGGUGGAAUGACGUAGAGAUGUGGAGGAACACCAGUGGCGAAGGCGGCUUUCUGGUCUGUAACUGACGCUGAGGCGCGAAAGCGUGGGGAGCAAACAGG
rnacentral:rRNA from 1 species